AACGACAGUUUAUAGUUUUAACGGUAAUACAUGCAGCUCAUCACAUCAUAACAACUCGACAGGAGGAGGAAGAGGUCAGAUGAAGGUGUGCUUACAUCCGCAGCGAAGGUAUGAAAGAAGGGCUGAGGAGAGGAGUAAAUGAUCUGGUUGUAGAGCUCCUGUUCCCACACCUGCCUUCCUGUCUGUGGAAAUAACAUGACGCAGAUGAAUGUGCUAUACUUCCAUUUACAGAGGGAGGCAGUGCACUGUUGCUCUUCUCCUGCCGUGAGUACAUCCAUUUUACAGCCACACAGAUGAACAUUUAGUUUUAUUAAAAAGCAACUUCAGACUUUUUAUACAAACAUUUUAUUGACGGAUAACAACAUUCAAAUUAAUUUAAAAAUGUACACGAAGAAUAGCAAAGUCAAAAAAUCUUUUAGUCAAAUUUUUUAAAGAC